rnacentral:rRNA from 1 species
AUUGAACGCUGGCGGCAGGCCUAACACAUGCAAGUCGAGCGAGCGGCGGACGGGUGAGUAAUGUAUGGGAAUCUGGCCGAUAGAGGGGGAUAACUACUGGAAACGGUAGCUAAUACCGCAUACUAUAGGAUGAGCCCAUCUGGGAUUAGCUAGUAGGUGGGGUAAAGGCUCACCAAGGCGACGAUCUCGAGCUGGUCUGAGAGGAUGAUCAGCCAGACUGGGACUGAGACACGGCCCAGACGCCUACGGGAGGCAGCAGUGGGGAAUAUUGCACAAGGGGCGCAAGCCUGACGCAGCCAUGCCGCGUGUAUGAAGAAGGCCUUAGGGUUGUAAAGUACUUUCAGUGGGGAGGCGUUACCCGCAGAAGAAGCACCGGCUAACUCCGUGCCAGCAGCCGCGGUAAUAC